UGACUUCACAUGGUGAUUGAGGACAGGCAGAGCAGGGCAGUUGAUCUGAGAAAUACCGGCGAACUUGAUCUGGAUAAUACCAGCGAAAGGACAUGCUUCUUGACAUCC
rnacentral:ncRNA from 2 species